UGGGGAAUAUUGGACAAUGGGCGCAAGCCUGAUCCAGCCAUACCGCGUGGGUGAAGAAGGCCUUCGGGUUGUAAAGCCCUUUUGUUGGGAAAGAAUCCAGCUGGUUAAUACCCGGUUGGGAUGACGGUACCCAAAGAAUAAGCACCGGCUAACUUCGUGCCAGCAGCCGCGGUAAUACGAAGGGUGCAAGCGUUACUCGGAAUUACUGGGCGUAAAGCGUGCGUAGGUGGUCGUUUAAGUCUGUUGUGAAAGCCCUGGGCUCAACCUGGGAACUGCAGUGGAAACUGGACGACUAGAGUGUGGUAGAGGGUAGCGGAAUUCCUGGUGUAGCAGUGAAAUGCGUAGAGAUCAGGAGGAACAUCCAUGGCGAAGGCAGCUACCUGGACCAACACUGACACUGAGGCACGAAAGCGUGGGGAGCAAACAGGAUUAGAUACCUGGUAGUCCACGCCCUAAACGAUGCGAACUGGAUGUUGGGUGCAAUUUGGCACGCAGUAUCGAAGCUAACGCGUUAAGUUCGCCGCCUGGGGAGUACGGUCGCAAGACUGAAAACUUAAAGGAAAUUGACGGGGUCAUAGCUGUUUCCGUGCUGAUGGCGCGAG
rnacentral:rRNA from 1 species